AUGCACCCAAGUGCGGGUUUUGCAUUACUUGUUGCACUGUGCGUUCUGUGUAAAAGCAAGCGUAUAGUGUGACUUUAAGUGUGACGGAUGUUUUACCGGUGAGGGAAACGACUAAUUAUGCCCCUAUAUUGACUUUCGAGUUUGAUAUAGGUAAAGCAUAUUAAUACGCCCCUUAUGUUAAAAGACCCAUUUUAGUGCUCUUUACCGAGUGCUAUUGUGGGCCGGUACAAUUACUUUGAACAAAUUAGAGUGCUUAAAGCAGGCUAAAUUUAAUGAAAAUUAAAACGCCUGAAUAUAUUUUGCAUGGAAUAAUGGAAUAUGACCUCUGGUCUAUUUGAUUGGUUUUUAGAUGCCAAGAGGUAAGAUUAAUAGAAGCAGUUGGGGGCAUUAGUAUUACGAGGCGAGAGGUGAAAUUCG
rnacentral:rRNA from 1 species